GUUUUUCAGAUUCAUCUUCUACAGCAGGCCUCACGGGUGGUUUCUCGGGUGUAGAUUCAAGAUUUAUAGAAUCCAUAUCGUUAGCUUCUCCACCGUUGCUCAAACUAAAAGAUAAGUUUCCCAUUUUACCCUCGAUAUCCUCACUGACAGUUGCUUCGGUUUCGUUUUCAAUGGCGACUGUACGAUCAUUGCUACACUCUCCGUUUUCCCUUGAAACGGAAAAACCGGUCUGUGAAUCUACUGUGUCAAUGUCCAUGUCGCUAUUGGAUGAUGAACUUUGAGAUGUAGAGAUGUUUGCUGAUGAGUCGUUAGCAUGCAUCACAGUUUUGCAUUUUUCAGUGGCAUCAAGUGAUUCGGAAGUCAACGAGCAGUCAACCGAUUGGGUUACAAUAGGCAUCUUUUCUUGGGAUAUGUCUGGCGUUUGAAGGUCAUCUUUUUUAGAAGCUUCUUCGAUAGGAUUUAAGCAUGAAGCUCUGGCGGAAACUCUGAAAAGUAUAACAAUAAUGUAAAUUUGAUGAAAACACAAAACACCACAUUAGAGCUUCAUGUUGAAUGGCGGAAACUCUGAAAAGUAUAACAGCGGACUGUUAAUCAUGCAUCAUGUGGUGGCGUUGAUAGCCGAAAGACAAGGGUAA
rnacentral:lncRNA from 1 species